rnacentral:rRNA from 1 species
AACAGGGAUUGCCUCAGUAGCGGCGAGUGAAGCGGCAAAAGCUCAAAUUUGAAAUCUGGCGUCUUUGGCGUCCGAGUUGUAAUUUGAAGAAGGUAUCUUUGGGCCCGGCUCUUGUCUAUGUUCCUUGGAACAGGACGUCACAGAGGGUGAGAAUCCCGUGCGAUGAGAUGACCCGGGUCUGUGUAAAGUUCCUUCGACGAGUCGAGUUGUUUGGGAAUGCAGCUCUAAGUGGGUGGUAAAUUCCAUCUAAAGCUAAAUAUUGGCGAGAGACCGAUAGCGAACAAGUACAGUGAUGGAAAGAUGAAAAGAACUUUGAAAAGAGAGUGAAAAAGUACGUGAAAUUGUUGAAAGGGAAGGGCUUGAGAUCAGACUUGGUAUUUUGCAUGCUGCUCUCUCGGGGGCGGCCGCUGCGGUUUACCGGGCCAGCAUCGGUUUGGAGCGGCAGGAUAAUGGCGGAGGAAUGUGGCACGGCUUCUGCUGUGUGUUAUAGCCUCUGACGAUGCUGCCAGCCUAGACCGAGGACUGCGGUUUUUAACCUAGGAUGUUGGCAUAAUGAUCUUAAGUCGC